rnacentral:rRNA from 1 species
CACGUAGGGUGCAAGCGUUGUCCGGAAUUAUUGGGCGUAAAGAGCUCGUAGGCGGUUUGUUGCGUCGGCUGUGAAAUCCCGAGGCUCAACCUCGGGUCUGCAGUCGAUACGAGCAAACUAGAGUGUUGCAGGGGAGACUGGAAUUCCUGGUGUAGCGGUGAAAUUCGUAGAUAUCGAGAGGAACACCGGUGGCGAAGGCGGCCUUCUGGACCAGUGACUG